UCCAGACUCCUACGGGAGGCAGCAGUGGGGGAUAUUGCACAAUGGGGGCAACCCUGAUGCAGCGACGCCGCGUGAGCGAUGGAGUACUUCGGUAUGUAAAGCUCUGUCAGCAGGGAAGAGAAUGACGGUACCUGACCAAGAAGCCCCGGCUAAAUACGUGCCAGCAGCCGCGGUAAUACGUAUGGGGCAAGCGUUAUCCGGAUUUACUGGGUGUAAAGGGAGCGUAGACGGCAGCACAAGUCUGAAGUGAAAUGCCGGGGCUUAACCCCGGAACUGCUUUGGAAACUGUGCAGCUAGAGUGCAGGAGAGGUAAGUGGAAUUCCUAGUGUAGCGGUGAAAUGCGUAGAUAUUAGGAGGAACACCAGUGGCGAAGGCGGCUUACUGGGCUUUAACUGACGCUGAGGCACGAAAGCGUGGGUAGCAAACAGGAUUAGAUACCCUCGUA
rnacentral:rRNA from 1 species